ACCAGGGUCGUCUAAUUUGGUAGGACGUCGGCCUUUGAAACCGACUACGAAGGUUCGAUCCCUUCCCCUGGUG
rnacentral:tRNA from 1 species